AGCAGCAUGGUGUAGUAGUUUGAACAUUGGACUGUGACACUGAAGACUAGGGUUCAAAUCCCUGCUCGGCUA